rnacentral:sRNA from 1 species
UUCCCCCACCCUCCAAACCCUGUCACCAGUCUCACCCUGGGCCCCAGCAUGCCCCGCAGCCACCCUGCCGGCAACACCUGAGCCUCCCCUAAGCUCUCACCCUGGGUCUGGUCAUCCCUGUCUCUGCCUCUAGAUCCGAGGAAUGGGCAUGAACUCCCCGGAGCUGCUCCUGCUGGUGGAAAAUUGUCCCAAGGGGGCAGAGACACUGGUCACGCGAUGUCUGCACAGCCUCACAGACAAAGUCCCACCCUCCCCGGAGCUGGUGAAGCGGGUCCGGGAUCUCUACCACAAGCGACUGCCAGACGUCCGCUUCCUCAUCCCGGUGCUCAAUGGGCUGGAGAAGAAAGAGGUGAUCCAGGCCCUGCCUAAACUCAUCAAACUCAACCCCAUCGUGGUGAAGGAAGUCUUCAACCGCCUGCUGGGCACCCAGCAUGGUGAGGGAAACUCAGCCUUGUCCCCGCUGAACCCUGGAGAGCUCCUAAUCGCAUUACACAACAUCGACUCCGUGAAGUGCGACAUGAAAUCCAUCAUCAAAGCCACCAACCUGUGCUUUGCGGAGCGGAACGUGUACACGUCAGAGGUGCUGGCCGUGGUGAUGCAGCAGCUGAUGGAGCAGAGCCCCCUGCCCAUGCUGCUCAUGAGGACCGUCAUCCAGUCCCUGACCAUGUACCCCCGCCUGGGGGGCUUCGUCAUGAACAUCCUGUCCCGCCUCAUCAUGAAGCAGGUGUGGAAGUACCCCAAGGUGUGGGAGGGCUUCAUCAAGUGCUGCCAGCGCACCAAGCCCCAGAGCUUCCAGGUCAUCCUGCAGCUGCCGCCCCAGCAGCUGGGAGCUGUCUUUGACAAGUGCCCGGAGCUCCGGGAGCCCCUGCUGGCCCAUGUCCGCUCCUUCACCCCCCACCAGCAAGCUCACAUCCCUAACUCCAUCAUGACCAUCUUGGAGGCCAGCGGCAAGCAGGAGCCAGAGGCCAAGGAGGCGCCUGCGGGGCCCUUGGAGGA